rnacentral:lncRNA from 1 species
GAGUGGGGAUGGGUGAGUUGGGCAGGUGAGGGGCAAGGUGAUUGAGGCCGAUGCGUGUUCAGAAGGCAGUGGGGAGGCUCGAGGGUUCUCCGCUGUGACUUGGAGGACGCCCCCACAGUCGAGGCGGAUCAAGUCCCAGCUCCGAUGUCCCCUUGCUGUGUGACACCCUGCACACCCCUCGCCGUGGGGAACAAUGCCAGCGCCCUCCUCCCUUAGCCUGGCUCACGGGCAGACGGUGGGGUACGCUGUGUGCCACUACCAGGUGCUCCGACACAAGCGACCGCGUCAGCACGGAAGACCUCUGUGGCUGCUCUGGGAUCCCGUCCUCGGAUCUCCUGCCGUUCCGGGGAGCAUGACCAGUUGGACUGGCAGGGAGCCCCGGAAGGAGGGACACUGAUGACGGACAGGCUGUAAAACCCAGGGGAACUGGCAGGAAUCUGCCAAGGUAUGCGCCUCACCUGUCAUUGCCUCUGAAGAUAAAAUCAAAAGUUGCUUUUGACCCUGGCUUUGCUCUGCUGGCUCGUGCUUGUGGGGGUGGGGGGUGCUCCCCAACUGCUGACCCCAGGGCAGGGCCUGGGCACUGUGUCCGGUUUCUUUCCCUCCUCCUGGCCUCUGCACCCUCCAGGCAGCUUUUGGAACCAUCCUGCAGGGAUCUCGUCUGCUUUCCUCCGUUUCCAAGUCCCAUCAAGUCCAGUUCAAAUGCUGCCUCCUCCAGGAAGCCUUCCCACACCUUGGCGGUCAGAACUGGCCUCUACAACUUCGUAACUCCCAGAAAUAUCACGGGCUCGGAGGAGUUUCACGUGGGCGCCACACUGCACUUGCAUGCUCGGAGAGCCCUGGCACCCAGGUAAACAGGAGGAACCCUAGGGGUGCGUGGGCUGCAGGUUAAGACUUGAGAUGAAGUUGCAUUUCUGAAAAGAGCGAGGGGGGUCUGUGCCGGUGAGAGAGGAGGCGGGAACUGAGGGCAG